rnacentral:rRNA from 1 species
GGACCCGCACAAGCGGUGGAGCAUGUGGUUUAAUUCGAUGCAACGCGAAAAACCUUACCUACUCUUGACAUACUUGGGAGCUCUUGUAAUGAGAGUGUGCCUUUUGGAACCAAGAUACAGGUGCUGCAUGGCUGUCGUCAGCUCGUGUCGUGAGAUGUUCCGUUAAGUCGGAUAACGAGCGCAACCCUUACCCUUAUUUGCCAGCGAUUCGGUCGGGAACUAUAAGGGGACUGCCGGUGAUAAACCGGAGGAAGGUGAGGACGACGUCAAGUCAUCAUGGCCCUUACGAGUAGGGCUACACACGUGCUACAAUGGGGAAUACAGACGGACGCUAAGCCGCGAGGUGGUGCUAAUCCUAGAAAGUUUCUCGUAGUCCGGAUUGGAGUCUGCAACUCGACUCCAUGAAGUCGGAAUCGCUAGUAAUCG